CCUACGGGCGGCAGCAGUGGGGAAUAUUGGACAAUGGGCGAAAGCCUGAUCCAGCCAUGCCGCGUGUGUGAAGAAGGCCUUCGGGUUGUAAAGCACUUUCAGUGGGGAAGAAAGCCUUGGGGCUAAUACCCUCGAGGAAGGACAUCACCCACAGAAGAAGCACCGGCUAACUCCGUGCCAGCAGCCGCGGUAAUACGGAGGGUGCGAGCGUUAAUCGGAAUUACUGGGCGUAAAGCGCGCAUAGGCGGUCUGAUAAGCCGGUUGUGAAAGCCCCGGGCUCAACCUGGGAACGGCAUCCGGAACUGUCAGGCUAGAGUGCAGGAGAGGAAGGUAGAAUUCCCGGUGUAGCGGUGAAAUGCGUAGAGAUCGGGAGGAAUACCAGUGGCGAAGGCGGCCUUCUGGACUGACACUGACGCUGAGGUGCGAAAGCGUGGGUAGCAAACAGGAUUAGAUACCCCGGUAGUC
rnacentral:rRNA from 1 species